rnacentral:rRNA from 1 species
AUUGAACGCUGGCGGAAUGCUUUACACAUGCAAGUCGAACGGCAGCACGGACUUCGGUCUGGUGGCGAGUGGCGAACGGGUGAGUAAUACAUCGGAACGUGCCCAGUCGUGGGGGAUAACGUAGCGAAAGCUACGCUAAUACCGCAUACGAUCUAAGGAUGAAAGCGGGGGAUCGCAAGACCCCGCGCGAUUGGAGCGGACGAUGGCAGAUUAGGGAGUUGGUAGGGUAAAGGCCUACCAAGCCGACGAUCUGUAGCUGGUCUGAGAGGAUGAUCAGCCACACUGGGACUGAGACACGGCCCAGACUCCUACGGGAGGCAGCAGUGGGGAAUUUUGGACAAUGGGCGCAAGCCUGAUCCAGCCAUUCCGCGUGCAGGAUGAAGGCCUUCGGGUUGUAAACUGCUUUUGUACAGAACGAAAAGGCUCUGGUUAAUACCCGGGGCUCAUGACGGUACUGUAAGAAUAAGCACCGGCUAACUACGUGCCAGCAGCCGCCGUAA